AGAGUUUGAUCCUGGCUCAGGAUGAACGCUGGCGGUGCGCCUAAUACAUGCAAGUCGAGCGAGACGAGUUUUAAGGUUACUUGAAGCUUUGGAAGCGGCGGACGAGCGAGUAACACGUAAGAACCUGCCCUGUACUCGGGGAUAACUCGGUGAAAGCCGAGCUAAUACCGGAUGGUCUCGAAAGAGUAAAGAUUUAUCGGUACGGGAGGGGCUUGCGGACUAUCAGCUAGUUGGUGGGGUAAUAGCCCACCAAGGCUAUGACGGAUAGCUGGUGUGAGAGCAUGACCAGCCGCGAUGGGACUGAGACACGGCCCAUACUCCUACGGGAGGCAGCAGUAAGGAAUCUUCCGCAAUGGACGAAAGUCUGACGGAGCGACACCGCGUGGUGGAUGAAGGCCUAUGGGUCGUAAACACCUUUUCUAUGGGAAGAAGAUCUGACGGUACCAUAGGAAUAAGGACCGGCUAAUUACGUGCCAGCAGCCGCGGUAAUACGUAAGGUCCGAGCGUUAUCCGGAAUUAUUGGGCGUAAAGCGUCCGCAGGUGGUUGUGAAAGUCAGUUAUUAAAUACCGGUACUCAACAUCGGUGCUGUAAUUGAAACUUCAUAACUAGAGGAUGGUAGAGGUAUAUGGAAUUCUACAAGUAGGGGUAAAAUCCGUAGAUAUGUAGAGGAACACCAAAAGCGAAGGCAGUAUACUGGACCAAUCCUGACACUCAGGGACGAAAGCGUGGGGAGCAAAAGGGAUUAGAUACCCCUGUAGUCCACGCCGUAAACGAUGCUAACUCGGUGUAGGGACCCUCGACCUGGUCUCUGUGCCUAAGGUAACCCGUUAAGUUAGCCGCCUGUGUAGUACGAUCGCAAGAUUAAAACACAAAGGAAUAGACGGGGACCCACACAAGCGGUGGAACAUGGGGUUUAAUUCGUCAAUAAGCGAGUAACCUUACCCAGACUUGACAUCCUAAUCGUAAUUUUUAGAGAUAAUUAUGUCAGUUCGGCUGGAUUAGUGACAGGCGCUGCAUGGUUGUCGUCAGCUCGUGCCUUGAGGUGUUCGGUUAAGUCCGUUAACGAGCGCAACCCUCGUCGUAUGUUGUAUUUUCAUGCGAAACUGCCCAGUAUAACUGGGAGGAAGGUGAGGGUGACGUCAAAUCAGCAUGGCCUUUAUGUCUGGGGCUACACCCGUGUUACAAUGGGAAGUACAAACUGAAGCAAAGCGGUAACGUGGAGCCAGUCGGAAAAAAACUUCUCUCAGUUCGGAUUGAGGUCUGCAACUCGACCUCAUGAAGUUGGAAUCGCUAGUAACCGUAUAUCAGUCAUGGUGCGGUGAAUAUGUUCCUGGGUCUUGUACUCACCGCCCGUCAAGGCAUGGGAGUUGGGGGCACCCGAAGUCUGCAAAAUAAUUGUGGCCUAAGGUGAAACCAAUGACUGGGCUUAAGUCGUAACAAGGUA
rnacentral:rRNA from 1 species